GAGGGUACAGCUCAGUGGUGGAGCUCAUGCUUGGCAUGCAUGAGGUCCUGUGUUCAAUUCUCCAUACUUCCA
rnacentral:tRNA from 1 species